GAUGAACGCUGGCGGCGUGCCUAAUACAUGCAAGUCGAGCGAACAGACGAGGAGCUUGCUCCUCUGACGUUAGCGGCGGACGGGUGAGUAACACGUGGAUAACCUACCUAUAAGACUGGGAUAACUUCGGGAAACCGGAGCUAAUACCGGAUAAUAUAUUGAACCGCAUGGUUCAAUAGUGAAAGACGGUUUUGCUGUCACUUAUAGAUGGAUCCGCGCCGCAUUAGCUAGUUGGUAAGGUAACGGCUUACCAAGGCAACGAUGCGUAGCCGACCUGAGAGGGUGAUCGGCCACACUGGAACUGAGACACGGUCCAGACUCCUACGGGAGGCAGCAGUAGGGAAUCUUCCGCAAUGGGCGAAAGCCUGACGGAGCAACGCCGCGUGAGUGAUGAAGGACUUCGGAUCGUAAAACUCUGUUAUUAGGGAAGAACAUAUGUGUAAGUAACUGUGCACAUCUUGACGGUACCUAAUCAGAAAGCCACGGCUAACUACGUG
rnacentral:rRNA from 1 species